rnacentral:piRNA from 1 species
UGCAUGCCAUAGGUGCUAAAUAAAUGAGC